rnacentral:sRNA from 1 species
GUUAAUAGGUCAAGGGUAUACGAGUAGCUGCACUCCCCCGCUAGAACCUCCAAACAAGCUCUCAGGAAAUACAUUUUGUAAGGCUAUAGUUAGU